rnacentral:rRNA from 1 species
UGGGGAAUUUUGCACAAUGGGGGAAACCCUGAUGCAGCGACGCCGCGUGAUUUAGAAGGCCUUCGGGUUGUAAAAAUCUUUUGUAUGGGAAGAAAAUGACAGUACCAUACGAAUAAGGACCGGCUAAUUACGUGCCAGCAGCCGCGGUAAUACGUAAGGUCCGAGCGUUGUCCGGAAUCAUUGGGCGUAAAGGGUACGUAGGCGGAUAAGCAAGUUAGAAGUGAAAUCCUAUAGCUCAACUAUAGUAAGCUUUUAAAACUGCUCAUCUUGAGGUAUGGAAGGGAAAGUGGAAUUCCUAGUGUAGCGGUGAAAUGCGCAGAUAUUAGGAGGAAUACCGGUGGCGGAGGCGACUUUCUGGCCAUAUACUGACGCUGAGGUACGAAAGCGUGGGUAGCAAACAGG